rnacentral:rRNA from 1 species
GACGAACGCUGGCGGCGUGCUUAACACAUGCAAGUCGAACGGUAAGGCCCUUCGGGGUACACGAGUGGCGAACGGGUGGAGUAACACGUGGGUGAUCUGCCCUGCACUUCGGGAUAAGCCUGGGAAACUGGGUCUAAUACCGGAUAGGACCAUGGACUUCACGGUUUGUGGUGGAAAGCUUUUGCGGUGUGGGAUGGGCCCGCGGCCUAUCAGCUUGUUGGUGGGGUAAUGGCCUACCAAGGCGACGACGGGUAGCCGGCCUGAGAGGGUGUCCGGCCACACUGGGACUGAGAUACGGCCCAGACUCCUACGGGAGGCAGCAGUGGGGAAUAUUGCACAAUGGGCGCAAGCCUGAUGCAGCGACGCCGCGUGAGGGGAUGACGGCCUCGGUUGUAACUCUUCAUAGGACGAG